rnacentral:hammerhead_ribozyme from 1 species
ACUCAGUAGUCGAGUCCCAAAUAGGAUGAAACGCGCGUCCUGGCU